GGUGGUGGCGGAGGAGAAGAAAGCUUGGGUGGGUUGGCAGCCAGAUGGAGACGCAACUGUUCCGCGGCGGGCGGACCUUCAGACGCGGCGUGAAGCUGAGCAGUUUGUACCUUUUGACUACCUUCACAUGUCAUUUCCUCUGAUUAUAAUAUGGAUGGUUUCUGAAGAUCUUUUGCAUUCCAUGGUCUACAUUUG